rnacentral:rRNA from 1 species
CUACGGGUUGCAGCAGUGAGGAAUAUUGCACAAUGGGGGGAACCCUGAUGCAGCAACGCCGCGUGGAGGAUGACGCAUUUCGGUGUGUAAACUCCUUUUAUAUGUCAAGAAAAUGACGGUAGCAUAUGAAUAAGCGCCGGCUAACUCCGUGCCAGCAGCCGCGGUAAUACGGAGGGCGCAAGCGUUACUCGGAAUCACUGGGCGUAAAGGACGCGUAGGCGGGUUGAAAAGUCAGGUGUGAAAGCCUACAGCUUAACUGUAGAACUGCACUUGAAACUCUCAAUCUAGAGUAUGGGAGGGGCAGAUGGAAUUAGUGGUGUAGGGGUAAAAUCCGUAGAUAUCACUAGGAAUACCUAAAGCGAAGGCGAUCUGCUGGAACAUUACUGACGCUAAGGCAUGAAAGCGUGGGGAGCAAACAGGAUUAGAUACCCGUGUAGUC